AUAACAUUGAUACAGAUAAAAGUGGCACAGUCACUCAUGAAGAAGUCAAAAGAGGGUUUACUACACUUGGAUCAAAAGUCUCUGAAACCGAAGUGAAGCAACUCAUAGAAGCCGCAGGCCAAUGCAUGAUGAUGAAUUUUCAGGCUAUUGUGGCGGUAAUGGAACAAUCGACAUAGAAGAGUUUAUCUCUGCAACGUUGAUAGAUUCAAACUGGACCACCAUGAGCUUUUUCGCCAAGAAUUCCAACACUUUGACAAAAGAAAAAGAUGGGUGAAUAACAAGGGGUGAAUUGGAGAUAGCAAUGAAAGAUUAUGGUGUAAGAGAUGAAGAUAGCAUCAAACACAUAACAUCAGAAAGUAUGCCAAUAAUGAUAGAAGCAUAUAUCUUGAGGAAUUUCACACAAUGAUGAGAAGGGCAAGCAAAGAGUCACAAAUACAAAAUUUUGCGGUCAAUUGAUCAUAGUGUUCUUGUGUUCACCAAAAAUAAAGGUUCAGGGAAGAAGAGCUAAACCUGAGUAAACCGAGAUAAGAGUAGUUGAUCUUUAAAGUUUAAACUUAG